rnacentral:lncRNA from 1 species
UGAUUGGGAUCCUCUUCUUUGUAACUUGACUUAAUUAUCAUGCAUGCUGACACAGAGUCAAACGAGUUUCAUGGAGAUCUGGACUUGAUCAUUUUGGUCACAACCACAAUUACUACGCACACGGAUGUUUAGCCAAAUCGAACUUUAUGAGCAGUUGAGAAAUGCCUAGCUGCUGCCACCAUUUCCUCCUCGGGCCUGAAGGGUUCUGAGUUUCUUGAAGACCUGGCGGCCUCAGCAUCAAAGCUUGCAGCGUCAUGGAAGAAGAAAACCAACCACCUUAAAAAGGCGGCACGCCGACUUGUGCUCCUCUCCCUGUAGCCCAUUUUGUUCAAGAAAGACUGCUAUAUGUUAUCCCUUAAUCAAGAAUAGUCGAGUCGAAUGAUAAAAGCAGAUGUAUAUAAGUGCUUGCUUGUUUGCGUUUCUUCUUGGUUUCAUACAGC